CUCCUACGGGUGGCAGCAGUAGGGAAUAUUGGACAAUGGGGGCAACCCUGAUCCAGCCAUGCCGCGUGAGUGAAGAAGGCCCUCGGGUUGUAAAGCUCUUUUGUCCGGAAAGAAAAGCAAUCGGUUAAUACCCGGUUGUUCUGACGGUACCGGAAGAAUAAGCACCGGCUAACUUCGUGCCAGCAGCCGCGGUAAUACGAAGGGUGCAAGCGUUACUCGGAAUUACUGGGCGUAAAGCGUGCGUAGGUGGUUCGUUAAGUCUGAUGUGAAAGCCCUGGGCUCAACCUGGGAAUGGCAUUGGAUACUGGCGGGCUAGAGUGCGGUAGAGGGUAGUGGAAUUCCCGGUGUAGCAGUGAAAUGCGUAGAGAUCGGGAGGAACAUCUGUGGCGAAGGCGACUGCCUGGACCAGCACUGACACUGAGGCACGAAAGCGUGGGGAGCAAACAGGAUUAGAUACCCUGGUAGUCCACGCCCUAAACGAUGCGAACUGGAUGUUGGGUUCAACUUGGAACUCAGUAUCGAAGCUAACGCGUUAA
rnacentral:rRNA from 1 species